AGCAGCGGCCAAAACGUUUUAAAUCAGCUCAAUAAUGUUGAACGGAAGACUUUUGCUUACUACAUUGGCACAUCUAAUAAAGUUGUAUGGCGUGCUCAGCCCUCAUCAGAGGACGCCAUCAUCAAGGGACAUUUGGCUCCGGGAACUUACCACAGGAAGAGAUUAGCAGUUACGAAUUGAUGAAAUUGGAUUCAAUAAUUACGAAAAGGUUAUUUUGUGGGAAAGCUUCAAUCUGGUCAUCGUGAGCGAUUCGUAAACAGCUGGUACAAGUAUGUGGGAAGAUUAUUGUGAUCAACGCGAGACAGAUUGAAAGAAACCUAAACCAUGAGUAUCAGACACAUACACCACAUAUAAAUCAUAUGAAAAUAAAUGCGUUGCUUUAAGGUGAAGAUAAAUCG